GGCGGUUCUCGGGUGACGCACCCCAGAAUUGCGCUUUUUUAUCUCUGGUUCUGGGUGUGUCACCUGAGAACUGCA
rfam:Myotis lucifugus cont2.14265, whole genome shotgun sequence.